AUUGAACGCUGGCGGCAGGCCUAACACAUGCAAGUCGAGCGAGCGGCGGACGGGUGAGUAAUGUCUGGGAAACUGCCUGAUGGAGGGGGAUAACUACUGGAAACGGUAGCUAAUACCGCAUACCAUCAGAUGUGCCCAGAUGGGAUUAGCUAGUAGGGGGGGUAAUGGCUCACCUAGGCGACGAUCCCUAGCUGGUCUGAGAGGAUGACCGGCCACACUGGAACUGGGAAAGGGUCCAGAAUCUACCGGGAGGCAGCAGGGGGGAAUAUUGCAAAAAGGGCGAAAGCCGGAGGCAGCCUUGCCGCGGGUGUGAAGAAGGCGUUCGGGUUGUAAAGCACUUUAGGCGGGGGGGCGUUACUCGCAGAAGAAGCACGGGCUAACUCGGUGCCAGCAGCCGCGGUAUUC
rnacentral:rRNA from 1 species